UUAAGCGACUAAGCGUACACGGUGGAUGCCUAGGCAGUCAGAGGCGAUGAAGGGCGUGCUAAUCUGCGAAAAGCGUCGGUAAGGUGAUAUGAACCGUUAUAACCGACGAUACCCGAAUGGGGAAACCCAGUGCAAUUCGUUGCACUAUUGCAUGGUGAAUACAUAGCCAUGCAAGGCGAACCGGGGGAACUGAAACAUCUAAGUACCCCGAGGAAAAGAAAUCAACCGAGAUUCCCCUAGUAGCGGCGAGCGAACGGGGAGGAGCCCAGAGUCUGAAUCAGUUUGUGUGUUAGUGGAAGCGUCUGGAAAGUCGCAGGGUACAGGGUGAUACUCCCGUACACAAAAACACACUUGCUGUGAACUCGAUGAGUAGGGCGGGACACGUGACAUCCUGUCUGAAUAUGGGGGGACCAUCCUCCAAGGCUAAAUACUCCUGACUGACCGAUAGUGAACCAGUACCGUGAGGGAAAGGCGAAAAGAACCCCGGCGAGGGGAGUGAAAUAGAACCUGAAACCGUGUACGUACAAGCAGUGGGAGCACCUUCGUGGUGUGACUGCGUACCUUUUGUAUAAUGGGUCAGCGACUUAUAUUUUGUAGCAAGGUUAACCGAAUAGGGGAGCCGUAGGGAAACCGAGUCUUAACUGGGCGUCUAGUUGCAAGGUAUAGACCCGAAACCCGGUGAUCUAGCCAUGGGCAGGUUGAAGGUUGGGUAACACUAACUGGAGGACCGAACCGACUAAUGUUGAAAAAUUAGCGGAUGACUUGUGGCUGGGGGUGAAAGGCCAAUCAAACCGGGAGAUAGCUGGUUCUCCCCGAAAGCUAUUUAGGUAGCGCCUCGUGAACUCAUCUUCGGGGGUAGAGCACUGUUUCGGCUAGGGGGCCAUCCCGGCUUACCAAACCGAUGCAAACUCCGAAUACCGAAGAAUGUUAUCACGGGAGACACACGGCGGGUGCUAACGUCCGUCGUGAAGAGGGAAACAACCCAGACCGCCAGCUAAGGUCCCAAAGUCAUGGUUAAGUGGGAAACGAUGUGGGAAGGCAUAGACAGCCAGGAUGUUGGCUUAGAAGCAGCCAUCAUUUAAAGAAAGCGUAAUAGCUCACUGGUCGAGUCGGCCUGCGCGGAAGAUGUAACGGGGCUAAACCAUGCACCGAAGCUGCGGCAGCGACGCUUAGGCGUUGUUGGGUAGGGGAGCGUUCUGUAAGCCGUUGAAGGUGACCUGUGAGGGUUGCUGGAGGUAUCAGAAGUGCGAAUGCUGACAUAAGUAACGAUAAUGCGGGUGAAAAACCCGCACGCCGGAAGACCAAGGGUUCCUGUCCAACGUUAAUCGGGGCAGGGUGAGUCGACCCCUAAGGCGAGGCUGAAAAGCGUAGUCGAUGGGAAACAGGUUAAUAUUCCUGUACUUGGUGUUACUGCGAAGGGGGGACGGAGAAGGCUAGGCUAGCCGGGCGACGGUUGUCCCGGUUUAAGCAUGUAGGCGGAGUGACUUGGUAAAUCCGGUUGCUUAUCAACGCUGAGGUGUGAUGACGAGUCACUACGGUGAUGAAGUAGUUGAUGCCAAGCUUCCAGGAAAAGCCUCUAAGCAUCAGGUAACAUUAAAUCGUACCCCAAACCGACACAGGUGGUCAGGUAGAGAAUACUCAGGCGCUUGAGAGAACUCGGGUGAAGGAACUAGGCAAAAUGGUGCCGUAACUUCGGGAGAAGGCACGCUGGCAUUAGGUAAAGAGAUUUGCUCUCGGAGCUGAAGCCAGUCGCAGAUACCAGCUGGCUGCAACUGUUUAAUAAAAACACAGCACUGUGCAAACACGAAAGUGGACGUAUACGGUGUGACGCCUGCCCGGUGCUGGAAGGUUAAUUGAUGGGGUCAGCCGCAAGGCGAAGCUCUUGAUCGAAGCCCCAGUAAACGGCGGCCGUAACUAUAACGGUCCUAAGGUAGCGAAAUUCCUUGUCGGGUAAGUUCCGACCUGCACGAAUGGCGUAAUGAUGGCCAGGCUGUCUCCACCCGAGACUCAGUGAAAUUGAACUCGCUGUGAAGAUGCAGUGUACCCGCGGCAAGACGGAAAGACCCCGUGAACCUUUACUAUAGCUUGACACUGAACAUUGAGCCUUGAUGUGUAGGAUAGGUGGGAGGCAUUGAAGUGUGGACGCCAGUCUGCAUGGAGCCAACCUUGAAAUACCACCCUUUAAUGUUUGAUGUUCUAACUCGGCCCCGUGAUCCGGGGUGAGGACAGUGUCUGGUGGGUAGUUUGACUGGGGCGGUCUCCUCCCAAAGAGUAACGGAGGAGCACGAAGGUUAGCUAAUCACGGUCGGACAUCGUGAGGUUAGUGCAAAGGCAUAAGCUAGCUUGACUGCGAGAGUGACGGCUCGAGCAGGUACGAAAGUAGGUCUUAGUGAUCCGGUGGUUCUGAAUGGAAGGGCCAUCGCUCAACGGAUAAAAGGUACUCCGGGGAUAACAGGCUGAUACCGCCCAAGAGUUCAUAUCGACGGCGGUGUUUGGCACCUCGAUGUCGGCUCAUCACAUCCUGGGGCUGAAGUAGGUCCCAAGGGUAUGGCUGUUCGCCAUUUAAAGUGGUACGCGAGCUGGGUUUAGAACGUCGUGAGACAGUUCGGUCCCUAUCUGCCGUGGGCGUUGGAAGAUUGAGAGGGGCUGCUCCUAGUACGAGAGGACCGGAGUGGACGAAUCACUGGUGUUCGGGUUGUCAUGCCAAUGGCAUUGCCCGGUAGCUAAAUUCGGAAGAGAUAACCGCUGAAAGCAUCUAAGCGGGAAACUUGCCUCGAGAUGAGUCUUCCCUGGGGCUUUAAGCCCCCUGAAGGAACGUUAAAGACUAUGACGUUGAUAGGCUGGGUGUGUAAGUGCAGCGAUGCAUUGAGCUAACCAGUACUAAUGAUCCGUGAGGCUUAACCUU
rnacentral:rRNA from 1 species